AUGAAAAAGACUUGGGGAAAAGUUUUGCCGCUUAGUUAUCACCAGGACUUUACCCUGAGGCUUAAGGAGAGAUAGAGGAACCUCCAGGGAAUGAAGCAGGGAAUGGUUUUGUCCCUUCUCUGACUGUUUUCUUGAGGCUGCAUCUGAGUGAGCGAGAGUAUCUGAAACAGGUAUCUGAAAAAAAUCAGUAUCAGCUGCGAAGGAGAAAGUUUUCACUCUAAAAUAGGCAAAGAAUGAGUUAGAAAUUAUUUGGGUAAUUUAGAAUUUUUCAAGUGGACUAGGACUGAUAAACUUCAGCUUGAGACCCUGAAAACGUGGUGGAAGUAACCUCAGAAUGCCGCAACCUCUGCAAACAGACAGAGGGCAGACAGGGUGGUCUGAAGAUGAGAAAAUGGAAGACAUCAUGGGUAACUUUUAAAAGUGUAAGAAUGGAAAUGGGAAAUUAUCAAUUGACCAGAAGAAAUUUUCACUCAGAAAAUCUCGAUGGAAAAAAUUGAACAAACUGUAUCUGGAAGACAAAGAAGAUGAGUAUCGGCUCUGAUAGGUCUGUCAAGUAUAAAUAAUGUUAAUCCAGUUUGCUUUCCUUCUGCAAUAGGAACGACAUGUUUUGUGGAAAGGGCAAAAGCAAGAGUUUCCACAUUCUGUGGUUCUGUCCAGGCCUUCCUUGGAGCUGUUUCACUUGGUACUCUUGUAAUUUAGGGAAGCAUGGUUUAGAUGAGUGCUUUUCAAUCUUUUCUAAUGUAGAUUGGUUAGGAAGCUCACAGUCCUUCAUAGUAAAUUUUAAUUACUGAAAAUAUGCCUACUUUUCUUCGCUACAUUUCAGAAAUCCCGUAUGGAAUCAUAGAAUCCCAGGUUGGGAGGGACCUCAAGGAUCAUCUGGUCCAACCUUUCUUGGCAAAAACACGGUCUGGACAAGAUGGCCCAGCACCCUCUCCAGCUGAAUCUUAAAAGUGUCCAAUGGUGGGGAAAAUAUCAAAGCCUAAAGACAAUCAUUUCAAAAUCACUGGUUUACACAAAACUACCAUAGGGCCAGUACAAAACUGGUUGCAGGCGUGACUACGGAGUAGCUGCUGGUUGUUCACUAUUAAAAUGUAAAACGUACAGAGGUGGCUUCUUUGGAAUCUCUUCUGGGUUUGCUCUGUCACUAGGUAAUGAACCGAAAGUCCAUGGGUCUCUAAAGUCACAAAUCACAGCUGGAAAUGCUAUGAAGCACUCUCCAGAAAACAAUGAGAGGAUUAAUAAGUUAAUUGAAGAAACUGAACUUUUAUCAACGGUGUUGUUCUGGUGGCGAGAAAGCAAAUACUGUUCUUGUACAAGCAAGAAUAUAGACUGCAAGACAAGAAAUGAGCCGUUCUGCUCUGCUCAGUGCUUGGUAACAACUCAGCUGGAAUAUUGCCUGUGCUGGCCUGGCUGACAUCCCUGCAGAUGGAGGAAGUCAAGAGAAGAGCAGCACGAAUGAUUGGUGAUCUAGAAAAUAUGAAUUAAGAAGAAAGAUUGAAAGAACUGUGUUCUCAGGCCAACAGAAGACUGAAGAAGUCAGGAAGAUAUUUUAUGGCCUUAAAUACAUAGAAGGUUGCUGUAGCAAGGCAAGGAAUAAUCUGUUUCCCAUCUUCACAAUGAAAAAUAGUAGGCUUAAGUUACUGAAAAGGAUAUUCGAGAUGAACAUUAAGGAAAAUGUUACAAUAUGAAGGGCUACAAAGUGGAGCCUUUGGGUUCCCCGGUGCUGCAGGUCUUUGAAACGUGAGCCUCUCAGGAAUGGUUCAAGCAGACGUGAUGCAGCCUUAGGCCAGUGGACUGACUGGUCUCAGAAGCCCCUUUACAGCCUUUAUUUCUAGGAGCCUGUGAAGCUGCCUGGUUGAAGCUAAGAUAACAUCUGACAGCGGACUCCAGCCAGCCCACAGGGCCAACUGUUCCCAGUUUAAAGAGACGGGAUGGUUUACAAUAGCCAGUUCUUUGUAGUACUGAUUUAUAGUACUACAGUCAGGUUUGUAUGUGAUUUUACUUGAAAAUGACAUAGAUGAGACUAUUUAUAAAUCCAGAUUGUAGCUGCUGUUUAUUUUGUGCCCGGGUUAUAUUUCAGUUAUGUCUUGAACUUUGUAUUACUUUGUGUAUUUCACUGUUAAGGAUCUGUUUGCAAAUUAUUAUGUGUAUUGAAAACCUUGACUGAACUCAGAUGGGCACAGUGCAUCUGAAUAGCUUUUAUAAUCAACAAACCUUACUGCCUCCAUGUUCACUCACUUCUGGUUGUUUAUGUGUAUGCUGAAGAGCUCAGGCUCUACCACCGAUUCCUGAGGGAUUCCACUGAUGUCCGUUCUCCAUUGAGAAAACUUCGUUUUCUAUUAUACAACCAGUUAUCAAUACAUAAAAUUAUCUUCCUCCCAAACCCCUGGCAAUUUAAUUCUUUUUAAAAAGCUUCAAAGGAAUCUAACACACCUCAUGGCUUUUCUCUACGCAGUAUGGGACCUUUCCCAACACACCACAUUUAUCUAGGUGACUACUUCUAGUCUGAGACUGUGCCGUGUCCCUGAGUGGAAGUCAAGAUUGCUGAACUGUUUCCUGGAUUAAAAAUGAGUGUCACAUCUGUCACCUUCCAUUCCUGUGGCACCACAGCUGAGAGGAGAAGCUAUCCUGCUGGAGCUGACAGCUUGAGAGAAGCGAGGCUGCCGCAGCUCCAUGCCCCAGGUCAAACCAGGAGUGAGGCUGCAAAUGUAUUCCCAACUGGCUUGGUCAACUCGCUUUCUCUACACAAAGGAAGAAAUGGGGAGAGAAGAGGAAACAAGUCUUGCCUACUCCUUUGAUGAUGAGAGAUGCAGUGAACAUUAUUUGAUUCUGGAAAGGCAAGAGGAUGCCAUCAACCCUUAAGACAGGACCCAGGUUUGGGUACCCAAGAUCUGGAGGAGGGCACUCACCCCAGACCUUUCCCAGUAAAUCUCCUGGCGGCAAACUCUAGAGGCUCCUGUGUGCCUGGUGCCCAAUCCUCUUUAAAGGGUGCCGAAUUUCCCACGCUUCAUACAGCAAAACCAUGAGCUUGAGAUUCUGGCUUUCGUGUCGGUAGCCCUGGCUGCCUGCUGCGGCCUCGCAGUCGUCGUGCAGGAAGGGUGUGAGGGACCAGGGCUCCACCGUCGGCUCCCCCGGAUCUGCACAGCCCGGCACCCUGAGAGCUCUCCCCCCCUCGGCAUCCGCCACGCGGCGAGGCUUGGCUUUGAGCAGGGCAGCCUGGAGCUCUUGCCUCUCACUGCUAGGGAAUGAUCACAGAGCAUUUAAAAGGAACUGAAGUCCGUUCUAGAGCCUUUUGACUCAUCCCAUUGAACUUUAAUAGAAAGGAUGCUUUGGCUGUCAGAUACUCCGUGAUUAAAAUACCACCAGAAAAUACGCGUUUAGUGGAAUUAUACACUUAAAUAGAUUGCUUUCACGUAGCAGGAGCCUGAUUACUUUCCUUUUUAAUAUAUCACCUAAGACUUUUCCAUACAGAUUUAAAAGGCUAACCUGACUUGGAAGUCUGUAAAGAGAACGCACUUUUUUAAUGCAAAGCAGUCUUGACUAAGGAUUUAAUUUUAGGACACUCUUUUUGUAGAAAACAAUUUAUCAUUGCUAAGAAAACCUUGUGUAUUGUCACUCUAAAUAUAGAUCAGCCUGCUGGAUGAAUACUGAAUACUCUGUUCUGAUCUUCAGGACAAAAUAAUAUUUUUACUUCAGCGUGAAACGGUAUUCAAACUUUAACCCCUUCGUGGUUCAAGGUAAGACAAUCAUCUUGCCCACUGCAGACAGAAAGAACUUUUUUCUGAACUGACACAGAAUGUUUUCUUAUUUCAGGACAAAUUUAAAAAUGGUAUUCUUUCUCAGGUUGGGUAUUUGAUGAUGCUAAAAGAAAUAACAGAUCAUGUUUAUUUUGUCACAGACAAAGUGCUGCUCCAUUCUUUGAGCACAACAUCACAUCCAAAUAACAUUUCAGUUUCCCAGAGCAACAUAACAACCUCUUCAAGUCCCCCAAAAUCCAAGGGCAUUCACCACACGGGCCACCACGGGAGUGGGAUCGUGCUCUGAAGAUGGCAAAUUCUGUGUUUUAUUAAAAAUUCCUGUGCAACUGUUUGUUGCAGUA